rnacentral:lncRNA from 1 species
UUGUAAUCAAGUCUUAAAAGUUCUGCAAAGAGUAUCCUUGAACGAGAAUAACUAGACUGAGUAUUCAGCGAACAUCAGCUUCGCGAACAUCCAAGCCAUGCAUUAUUAAUUCGCAAACACCAGCAAUACCUCUUUCAAGAUCUCAAACCCUAAAGGACCUUGACAGGAUUCAAGUUUCAAACACAAGACCUCCAAAUAUUAGGUACC